rnacentral:rRNA from 1 species
GAUGAACGCUGGCGGCGUGCCUAAUACAUGCAAGUCGAGCGAACGGACGAGAAGCUUGCUUCUCUGAUGUUAGCGGCGGACGGGUGAGUAACACGUGGAUAACCUACCUAUAAGACUGGGAUAACUUCGGGAAACCGGAGCUAAUACCGGAUAAUAUUUUGAACCGCAUGGUUCAAAAGUGAAAGACGGUCUUGCUGUCACUUAUAGAUGGAUCCGCGCUGCAUUAGCUAGUUGGUAAGGUAACGGCUUACCAAGGCAACGAUGCAUAGCCGACCUGAGAGGGGGAUAGGCCACACUGGAACUGAGACACGGUCCAGACUCCUACGGGAGGCAGCAGUAGGGAAUCGUCCGCAAAGGGCGAAAGCCUGACGGAGCAACGCCGCGUGAGUGAUGAAGGUCUUCGGAUCGUAAAACUCUGUUAUUAGGGAAGAACAUAUGUGUAAGUAACUGUGCACAUCUUGACGGUACCUAAUCAGAAAGCCACGGCUAACUACGUG